UACGAAGGGGGCUAGCGUUGCUCGGAAUCACUGGGCGUAAAGGGUGCGUAGGCGGGUCUUUAAGUCAGGGGUGAAAUCCUGGAGCUCAACUCCAGAACUGCCUUUGAUACUGAGGAUCUUGAGUUCGGGAGAGGUGAGUGGAACUGCGAGUGUAGAGGUGAAAUUCGUAGAUAUUCGCAAGAACACCAGUGGCGAAGGCGGCUCACUGGCCCGGUACUGACGCUGAUAUACGAAAGCGUGGGGAGCAAACAGG
rnacentral:rRNA from 1 species